rnacentral:rRNA from 1 species
UACGUAGGGUGCAAGCGUUGUUCGGAAUUACUGGGCGUAAAGGGAGCGUAGGCGGAGUGAUAAGUUAGAAGUUUAAUGUACGGGCUUAACCCGUAAUCUGCUUCUAAUACUGUCUCUCUUGAGUAUGGGAGAGGAUGAUGGAAUUCCAGGUGUAGCGGUGGAAUGCGUAGAUAUCUGGAAGAACACCAGCAGCGAAGGCGGUCAUCUGGCCCAAUACUGACGCUGAGGCUCGAAAGCUAGGGGAG